AUACGGAGGAUCCAAGCGUUAUCCGGAUUUAUUGGGUUUAAAGGGUGCGUAGGUGGUAGAUUAAGUCAGCGGUGAAAGUUUGUCGCUCAACGAUAAAAUUGCCGUUGAUACUGGUUUACUUGAGUAUAGUUGAAGUAGGCGGAAUGCGUGGUGUAGCGGUGAAAUGCAUAGAUAUCACGCAGAACUCCGAUUGCGAAGGCAGCUUACUAAGUUAUAACUGACACUGAAGCACGAAAGCGUGGGUAUCAAACAGGAUUAGAUACCCUGGUAGUCCGCACAGUAAACGAUGAAUACUCGCUGUUUGCGAUACACGGUAAGCGGCCAAGCGAAAGCGUUAAGUAUUCCACCUGGGGAGUACGCCGGCAACGGUGAAACUCAAAGGAAUUGGCGGGG
rnacentral:rRNA from 1 species